GAGUUACAAAGGACGACAUUAGACGAAUCAUCUGGAAAGAUGAAUCAAAGAAGGUGAUAAUCCUGUAGUCGAAAAUGUUGUCUCUCUUGAGUGGAUCCUGAGUACGACGGAGCACGUGAAAUUCCGUCGGAAUCUGGGAGGACCAUCUCCUAAGGCUAAAUACUCUCUAGUGACCGAUAGUGAACCAGUACCGUGAGGGAAAGGUGAAAAGCACCCCGGAAGGGGAGUGAAAUAGAACCUGAAACCGUGUGCUUACAAGUAGUCAGAGCCCGUUAAUGGGUGAUGGCGUGCCUUUUGUAGAAUGAACCGGCGAGUUACGAUUUGAUGCAAGGUUAAGCAGUAAAUGUGGAGCCGUAGCGAAAGCGAGUCUGAAUAGGGCGUUUAGUAUUUGGUCGUAGACCCGAAACCAGGUGAUCUACCCUUGGUCAGGUUGAAGUUCAGGUAACACUGAAUGGAGGACCGAACCGACUUACGUUGAAAAGUGAGCGGAUGAACUGAGGGUAGCGGAGAAAUUCCAAUCGAACCUGGAGAUAGCUGGUUCUCUCCGAAAUAGCUUUAGGGCUAGCCUCAAGUGAUGAUUAUUGGAGGUAGAGCACUGUUUGGACGAGGGGCCCCUCUCGGGUUACCGAAUUCAGACAAACUCCGAAUGCCAAUUAAUUUAACUUGGGAGUCAGAACAUGGGUGAUAAGGUCCGUGUUCGAAAGGGAAACAGCCCAGACCACCAGCUAAGGUCCCAAAAUAUAUGUUAAGUGGAAAAGGAUGUGGCGUUGCCCAGACAACUAGGAUGUUGGCUUAGAAGCAGCCAUCAUUUAAAGAGUGCGUAAUAGCUCACUAGUCGAGUGACACUGCGCCGAAAAUGUACCGGGGCUAAACAU
rnacentral:rRNA from 1 species